rnacentral:rRNA from 1 species
GAUGAACGCUGGCGGCAUGCCUAAUACAUGCAAGUCGAACGAGAGGAAGGAAAGCUUGCUUUCCUGAAUCUAGUGGCGAACGGGUGAGUAACACGUAGGUAACCUGCCCAUGUGCCCGGGAUAACUUCUGGAAACGGAUGCUAAAACCGGAUAGGUAGCAGACAAGCAUUUGACUGCUAUUAAAGUGGCCUUGGCCAUGAACAUGGAUGGACCUGCGGUGCAUUAGCUGGUUGGUGAGGUAACGGCCCACCAAGGCGACGAGGCAUAGCCGGCCUGAGAGGGCGGACGGCCACAUUGGGACUGAGACACGGCCCAAACUCCUACGGGAGGCAGCAGUAGGGAAUUUUCGUCAAUGGGGGGAACCCUGAACGAGCAAUGCCGCGUGAGUGAGGAAGGUCUUCGGAUCGUAAAGCUCUGUUGUAAGAGAAAAACGGCACUCAUAGGGAAUGAUGAGUGAGUGAUGGUAUCUUACCAGAAAGUCACGGCUAACUACGUGCCAGCCGCCGCUGUAA